GUCGAACGCUUCUUUUUCCACCGGAGCUUGCUCCACCGGAAAAAGAGGAGUGGCGAACGGGUGAGUAACACGUGGGUAACCUGCCCAUCAGAAGGGGAUAACACUUGGAAACAGGUGCUAAUACCGUAUAACAAUCRAAACCGCAUGGUUUUGAUUUGAAAGGCGCUUUCGGGUGUCGCUGAUGGAUGGACCCGCGGUGCAUUAGCUAGUUGGUGAGGUAACGGCUCACCAAGGCCACGAUGCAUAGCCGACCUGAGAGGGUGAUCGGCCACAUUGGGACUGAGACACGGCCCAAACUCCUACGGGAGGCAGCAGUAGGGAAUCUUCGGCAAUGGACGAAAGUCUGACCGAGCAACGCCGCGUGAGUGAAGAAGGUUUUCGGAUCGUAAAACUCUGUUGUUAGAGAAGAACAAGGAUGAGAGUAACUGUUCAUCCCUUGACGGUAUCUAACCAGAAAGCCACGGCUAACUACGUGCCAGCAGCCGCGGUAAUACGUAGGUGGCAAGCGUUGUCCGGAUUUAUUGGGCGUAAAGCGAGCGCAGGCGGUUUCUUAAGUCUGAUGUGAAAGCCCCCGGCUCAACCGGGGAGGGUCAUUGGAAACUGGGAGACUUGAGUGCAGAAGAGGAGAGUGGAAUUCCAUGUGUAGCGGUGAAAUGCGUAGAUAUAUGGAGGAACACCAGUGGCGAAGGCGGCUCUCUGGUCUGUAACUGACGCUGAGGCUCGAAAGCGUGGGGAGCAAACAGGAUUAGAUACCCUGGUAGUCCACGCCGUAAACGAUGAGUGCUAAGUGUUGGAGGGUUUCCGCCCUUCAGUGCUGCAGCUAACGCAUUAAGCACUCCGCCUGGGGAGUACGACCGCAAGGUUGAAACUCAAAGGAAUUGACGGGGGCCCGCACAAGCGGUGGAGCAUGUGGUUUAAUUCGAAGCAACGCGAAGAACCUUACCAGGUCUUGACAUCCUUUGACCACUCUAGAGAUAGAGCUUCCCCUUCGGGGGCAAAGUGACAGGUGGUGCAUGGUUGUCGUCAGCUCGUGUCGUGAGAUGUUGGGUUAAGUCCCGCAACGAGCGCAACCCUUAUUGUUAGUUGCCAUCAUUCAGUUGGGCACUCUAGCAAGACUGCCGGUGACAAACCGGAGGAA
rnacentral:rRNA from 1 species